rnacentral:rRNA from 1 species
GACGUAGGGCGCGAGCGUUGUCCGGAUUUAUUGGGCGUAAAGAGCUCGUAGGCGGCUUGUCGCGUCGACUGUGAAAACCCGAGGCUCAACUUCGGGCUUGCAGUCGAUACGGGCAGGCUAGAGUUCGGUAGGGGAGACUGGAAUUCCUGGUGUAGCGGUGAAAUGCGCAGAUAUCAGGAGGAACACCGGAGUGGCGAAGGCAGGGUCUCUGGGCCGAUACUGACGCUGAGGAGCGAAAGCGUGGGGAGCGAACAGG